rnacentral:lncRNA from 1 species
CUGCGUCACCCAGGCCACACACGAGCGUGUCACGAGUGUCCCCAAGUGUGUCCCGAGUGUCCCCAAGUGUGUCCCGAGUGUCCCCAAGUGUGUCAUGAGUGUCCCCAAGUGUGUCCUGAGUGUCCCUGGGUGUGUCAUGAGUGUCCCCGAGCGUGUCACGAGUGUCCCCUGCGCGUCCUGAGUGUCCCUGGGUGUGUCACGAGUGUCCCUGGGUGUGUCACGAGUGUCCCCGAGCGUGUCACGAGCGUGUUACGAUUGUCUCCUGAGCGUGUCACGCUGGUCACGAUUGUCCUCUGUGUGUCCCCUGAGUGUGUCACGAGUGUCCCCCGCGUGUCACCAGUGUCCCCGAGUGUCCCCCGAGUGUGUCACGAGUGUCCCCCGCGUGUCACUGCCACCUCGGCCCCGUGCCAGCAGCGCCGCUGGGCCCUGCAAAUCCCGAUGUCCUUGAGGUCCCGAAUCCCGAUGGCCCCGUGUCCCCAAAUCCUGAUGUCCCCAAAUCCUGAUGUCCCCAGUUCCCAAUGUCCCCAAAUCCCAGUGUCCCCAAAUCCCAAUGUCCCCAGUUCCCGAUGUCCCUGUGUCCCCAUCCCAGUGUCCCCAGAUCCCGCUGUCCCCGUGUCCUUGUCCCUGCGCCAUCGCCGCUGCCAGGCCUGGGGCUCCGUGUCCCCGAUGUCCCCAAAUCCCGAUAUUUCCGAAUCCCGGUGUCCCCAGCCCCCUGUCCCCAUCCCAGCGUCCCCAUCCCGGUGUAAAUCCCGAUGUCCUGGAGCCUCGGGACGUGCAAAUCCCGAUGUCCCCAAACGUGUCCUUGUCCCCGCGCCUGCGGCCUGGCAGGGCCUGGAGGCCUGGUGUCCCCAGAUCCUGAUAUCCCCAAAUCCCAAUGUCCCCAAAUCCCGAUGUCCCCAAAUCCCGAUGUCCCCAAAUCCUGGUGUCCCCAAACGUGUCCUUGUCCCCGCGCCUGCGGCCUGGCAGGGCCUGGAGGCCUGGUGUCCCCAGAUCCUGAUAUUCCCAAAUCCCGCUGUCCCCCUGUCCCCGUGUCUGUCCCCACCCCUGGAAAUUCAGGAAAACCCCGUAAAAAACAGGGAAAUCCACCCAAAAAAUUGGGAAAAACCUCACGGAAAACCAGGAAACCCCUAAAAACAGGGAAAUCCACCCCCCAAAAAAACCGGGAGAAUCCCCAAAAAUCGGGAAUUUCCCCCCAAAAUCGGGAAUUGUCAUGAAAAUCGGGAAUUUCCCCCAAAAUCGGGAAUUUCCUCCCCAAAAUCGGGAAUUUC